rnacentral:lncRNA from 1 species
AAGAAGAACGACAGAGAAGACAUGUCUUAACAAGAGAUAAAGGAGGCUUAAGCCAAAAGUCCUUAUCUAUAAUUACUAGUAAAUGUGCACGUGCAACGCACGUCUCCAUCUACAAAAAUUGACACUGGUGCACUCGAGAACAUACAAAAAGUUCAAAUCGAUGAGCUAAGAUACUAAUGUGAGAACAAGUCACUUAUGCCAAAGAGCAUGACAUGGCUUUGAUAUCCUCCAUACCGACACCAACCAGCAAUUGGUCGAUAGUGGAGGAAUUGGUGCGCUCAACCGCGGAGAGACAAUCACAAGCCAAUAUGAUGUUGUUCAAGCCUUCUCAAGGGUCAAUGCACACCUGAUGGUAAGUGCUUAUGUGAUUGGUGAUGUCAUAAACCUCAUCAAGUAGUCGGCUACAAGCAGCUAAUCAAUUGCCCAUGCUGUCCUCGGUCAUGACGCUCAACCCCACCUAAUAAGAAGAGUAAUGUUGCCUCAAUGUGAUCAGAACCUGAUGACGGUUUUCAAAAAGAAAAAGGAAAUUAUCUCAAACACUUGAGAGAAUUGUUUUUCAACGUACAAUUGGAAACUUGAAUAAUGAAACAAUGCAUCUAAUCUGAAAACAGUGGGCAUCACACCUCAUCAUUAACAUUCAUAUAGCUUACCCUCAAGAUGUUACUCAACAUUUUGGUGGACAUAUUAGUCUCCGUAUGUUCCACCUAACUAUCUCUGCUCAACCUCCUCGGCAAUAAUUUAUCCCCAAGAAAAAUCAUCAUUGUCCCAAUAUGCACACAUGUACAAGAGGUUAGUAGUGCCUGGAAAAGUAGUGGGCAGUAAGAAAAAAUGCUCUAGGCUUUCCACUUCCGACAAAAUAAUAUAAGAUCACUAUUAGUGUUUUGUGCCAUUAAUUUGGAAAGAAUCACUACUCUCGAAGGAAUAUUUAAAAACUUGAAUGAUUCUAUACGUAUCAAAUAGACUAUUUGGAGACUAAAUAAUGUAACACCAAAAUUAGGAUCUGGUUUUCAUAUGCACUGUUUUAAUUUUAGGCUAAAUAAAUUUAUAUUUGUCUUCCUUUUCAUAUGAUCUGGUUUUCCGUUUUUGUUAUGAUGCAUAUAGAUCACGGACUCACACUGCGCAUGCCAAGGCAUGAGAAAUAUAGAUCAUUGCUUGUGCAGAUCAAACACGACUACAACUGUUGGCGGUGUCAAAGUGUCACUUGGCUGCAAGAACGGAUGACCAAAAUUCAUGAAAAUAAAGUAGCAGACAAUGGACCCACCUUAAACAAUCCAUCAUAGUCCUCUAAAAAAACAACCCAUCAUAGAGUUGAAGGCCAAUCUACAGUCAGGGUCAAUGUUUCCAAUCUGUAUUACAAGUAAAAACGCCACAAGCAUUAUUGCUCCGGCUUAAAUUAAGAGACAUGAAAUGCUAUAAAUUGAUAUAGGAAAUGGAAAGUUCAAAUAAGGCAUAAAUUAAUACGUAUCAUAUUGCAAACCAGAAGUAGAGUUGAAACUUGAAGCUUUGAGUGCAGUACAUGUCCCAUUUUCAGUAGGGCGGCAAAUGCAAUCAGAAACAUCUCCCAUGGAUCGACAUAAUCCAAACAAACAAUAC